rnacentral:rRNA from 1 species
UACGGGGGGAGCAAGCGUUGUUCGGAUUUACUGGGCGUAAAGGGCGCGUAGGCGGUCAGCACAAGUCAGUUGUGAAAUCUCCGGGCUUAACCCGGAAAGGUCAACUGAUACUGUGCGACUAGAGUGCGGAAGGGGCAACUGGAAUUCUCGGUGUAGCGGUGAAAUGCGUAGAUAUCAUUUGGAACGCCAAUGGUGAAGACAGGUUGCUGGGAGUGUGCUGACACUGAGACACGAAAGCCAGGGGAGCAAACGGG